UACGUAGGGUGCGAGCGUUAAUCGGAAUUACUGGGCGUAAAGCGUGCGCAGGCGGUUUUGUAAGCCAGAUGUGAAAGCCCCGGGCUUAACCUGGGAAUGGCAUUUGGGACUGCAAGGCUUGAGUGCGGCAGAGGAGACUGGAAUUCCCGGUGUAGCAGUGAAAUGCGUAGAUAUCGGGAGGAAUACCGGUGGCGAAGGCGCACAUCUGGCCCGAUACUGACGCUGAGGCGCGAAAGCUAGGGGAGCAAACGGG
rnacentral:rRNA from 1 species